rnacentral:rRNA from 1 species
AUGGGUGGCGCGGUGAGAGACCAGCAGCAGCAGCUCCACCCGUGCGAUUCGCUUCUCCUCGAGCUCAACGUGAUCUGGGAUGAGGUCGGUGAGCCCGACACGGUGCGGGACAAGACGCUGCUGGAGCUCGAGCAGGAAUGCCUCGAUGUCUACAGGAGGAAGGUCGACCAGGCCAACCGCUGCAGGGCUCAGCUGCGGCAAUCCAUCGCCGAGGCCGAGGCUGAGCUCGCCGGCAUCUGCUCGGCCAUAGGCGAGCCGCCGGUUCACGUCAGGCAGUCAAACCAGAAAUUGCAUGGUUUAAGGGAGGAGUUGAAUGCAAUUAUCCCAUAUUUAGAGGAGAUGCGGACUAAAAAGGUUGAAAGAUGGAGCCAGUUCGUUCAUGUCCUCGAGGAGAUUAAGAAAAUCUCAUCCGAAAUCAGGCCUUCAGACUUUGUGCCAUUUAAAACUCCUGUGGAUCAGUCUGAUCUGUCGUUAAGAAAGUUUGAGGAGUUAACGAAGGAGCUAGAAUCUCUUCAGAAAGAGAAGAGGGAAAGAUUAAAGCAAGUGAUGGAUCAUUUGAACACAUUACAUUCCUUAUGUGAGGUGCUUGGCAUUGACUUUAAACAAACAGUGCAUGAGGUGCACCCUAGCCUGGACGAAGCUGAAGGAUCAAAGAACCUGAGCAACACUACAAUCGAGAGACUAGCAUUGGCUGUGGAUAGACUUCGUGAAAUAAAAAUUCAGAGGAUGCAAAAGCUUCAAGACUUUGCAUCGACAAUGCUAGAACUAUGGAAUCUUAUGGAUACACCAAUUGAAGAGCAGCAGAUGUUCCAGAAUGUAACGUGCAAUAUUGCUGCCUCGGAGCAUGAAAUAACAGAACCCAACACCCUGUCGAUCGACUUCCUCAGCUAUGUGGAAGCUGAGGUUUUAAGGCUUGAGCAACUGAAAGGAAGCAAAAUGAAGGACCUCGUUUUGAAAAAGAAAUCGGAGCUGGAGGAGCACAGAAGACGUGCGCAUCUAAUUGGCGAGGAAGGAUAUUCAGAUGAAUUUAACAUUGAGGCUAUUGAGUCGGGAGCUAUUGAUCCUGCAUUGGUGCUGGAACAAAUUGAGGCUCACAUUGCAACAGUGAAAGAUGAAGCUUUCAGUCGAAAGGAUAUUCUUGAGAAGGUUGAAAGAUUUCUGAAUGCAUGUGAGGAGGAAGCCUGGCUGGAAGAUUACAACAAAGAUGACAAUCGUUACAAUGCUGGGAAGGGGGCACAUCUGACGCUCAAGAGGGCUGAGAAAGCUCGCAUUUUGGUUAACAAGAUUCCGGGAAUGGUAGAUGUUUUGACCACAAAAAUCAUUGCUUGGGAGAAUGAAAGAGGAAAAGAGUUCACAUAUGAUGGCGUACGCCUUCUCUCAAUGCUGGAUGAAUACAUGAUUGUUCGCCAGGAGAAAGAACAAGAGAAGAAGAGACAAAGGGAUCAGAAGAAGCUCCACGAUCAGCUCAAAGCCGAGCAGGAAGCUCUCUACGGUUCAAAGCCAAGUCCAUCCAAGCCUCAAAGCAUAAAGAAGGCGCCUAGACACUCGAUGGGUGGUGUAAACCGCAGGGUGUCCAUGGGUGGAGCCACGAUGCAAGCACCCAAAACAGACAUACUGCAUUCCAAGAAUGUUCGUGCUGCCAAGAGAACUGAAGACAUUGCCCAUUUGUCCCCUGCCAGCAGAGGCUUGGACAUUGGCGAUCUUCCCAUCAAGAAGCUAUCUUUCAAUGCCACUGCCUUGCGUGAAACCGAGACACCUCGCAAGCCAUUUGCGCAGAUCAUGCCGCCGCCAAGCAGUGUCCCCUCCACUCCUGCGCGCUCUGUCACCAAUGACACCGAGGAUGAGAACCGGACCCCCAACCCCAAGACAUUUGGAGCAGCACUGAAUCUCAAGACCCCGAUGACCGUGGCGGCUCCGAUGCAGCUGGCAAUGACGCCCGCUGUGGCUAGCAAGGUCACGGCUGCUCCUGUCUCCCUUGUCUACGAGAAGCCAGAGCCAACAUUGCCGGAGGCGAUCGAGUAUUCCUUCGAAGAAAGGCGGCUGGCCGUCUAUUUGUCAAGAGAAGUUUAA